rnacentral:rRNA from 1 species
GUUGACCUCGGAUCAGGUAGGGAUACCCGCCACAGUUGACCUCGGAUCAGGUAGGGAUACCCG